UGAAUCAGGGCCGGCGAUCCUCCACCUUCUUCCCUCCCCGAAAACCUCUCUGAAAUCAACAGCAUCAGAGCUCUAACUUCACAGGCAGAGAACAAAGAAGACGAUUCGAUUAUGCACGGUUGGAUAUCGAAUCUCUUCCCGCAUUUGGAGCCGUGACGGAAUCAAUAAGGGCGAACUUGGUGCAUUCGAGCGGGACGAUUCGAUUAUGCACGGUUGGCUAUCGAAUUUCUUCCCGCAUUUGGAGCUGCAGUAGAAUCGAUACGGGCGAACUUGGUGCAUUCGAGCGGGACGAUUCGAUCAUGC